rnacentral:rRNA from 1 species
CCCCUAGAUGUUCUGGGCCGCACGCGCGCUACACUGAACAGUUCAACAAGUCUUAACCUUGGCCGAUAGGUCUGGGUAAUCUUUGAACGCUGUUCGUGAUUGGGAUAGACCUUUGCAAUUAUGGGUCUUCAACGAGGAAUUCCUAGUAAACGCAAGUCAUCAGCUUGCAUUGAUUACGUCCCUGCCCUUUGUACCCACCGCCCGUCGCACCUACCGAUUGAAUGGUCCGGUGAAAUCUCGGGACGGCGGCUUGGUCGCUUGCGUCCGACUGCUGAAACUUGAUUAAACCAUAUCAUUUAGAGGAAGGUGAAGUCGUAACA